CGGCGUGCUUAAUACAUGCAAGUCAACUUGACUUUAGAUAGCAAUAUCGAAAAGUAGGGUGGCGCACGGGUGCGUAACGCGUAGGUAAUCUGCCCUGAGGUCUGACAUAACCCGUCGAAAGGCGGGCUAACAUCAGAUGAUAUAUAAUCACGACAUCGUGGAAAUAUCAAAUCUUCGGAGCCUUGGGAUGAGCCUGCGUCUGGUUAGGUAGUUGGCGGAGUAAUAGCCCACCAAGCCUACGAUCAGUAGCUGGUCUGAGAGGAUGAUCAGCCACACUGGAACUGAGACACGGUCCAGACUCCUACGGGAGGCAGCAGUAAGGAAUAUUGCUCAAUGGGGGGAAACCCUGAAGCAGCAACGCCGCGUGAAGGAUGAAAUACUUUUGUAUGUAAACUUCUGUAAGAUGGGAAAAAUAUUCUCCUCGGGAGAAUUGAUUGUACCAUCAGAGUAAGCCCCGGCUAACUACGUG
rnacentral:rRNA from 1 species